CGCGUAGGCGGCCAGACAGGUCAGGUGUGAAAUCCCUUGGCUCAACCAAGGAAUUGCGCUUGAAACCGUAUGGCUAGAGUGCAGGAGAGGAGGGCGGAAUUCCUGGUGUAGCGGUGAAAUGCGUAGAUAUCAGGAAGAACACCGGUGGCGAAGGCGGCUCUCUGGACUGUAACUGACGCUGAGGCGCGAAAGCGUGGGGAGCGAACG
rnacentral:rRNA from 1 species